CUUCGGGAAACGGAUUAGCGGCGGACGGGUGAGUAACACGUGGGUAACUUGCCUCAUAGAGUGGAAUAGCCUUCCGAAAGGAAGAUUAAUACCGCAUAACGUUGAAAGAUGGCAUCAUCAUUCAACCAAAGGAGCAAUCCGCUAUGAGAUGGACCCGCGGCGCAUUAGCUAGUUGGUGGGGUAACGGCCUACCAAGGCGGCGAUGCGUAGCCGACCUGAGAGGGUGAUCGGCCACAUUGGGACUGAGACACGGCCCAGACUCCUACGGGAGGCAGCAGUGGGGAAUAUUGCACAAUGGGGGAAACCCUGAUGCAGCAACGCCGCGUGAGUGAUGAAGGUUUUCGGAUCGUAAAGCUCUGUCUUUGGGGAAGAUAAUGACGGUACCCAAGGAGGAAGCCACGGCUAACUACGUGCCAGCAGCCGCGGUAAUACGUAGGUGGCGAGCGUUAUCCGGAUUUACUGGGCGUAAAGGGAGCGUAGGCGGAUGAUUAAGUGGGAUGUGAAAUACCCGGGCUCAACUUGGGUGCUGCAUUCCAAACUGGUUAUCUAGAGUGCAGGAGAGGAGAGUGGAAUUCCUAGUGUAGCGGUGAAAUGCGUAGAGACUUAGGAAGCACACCAGUGGCGAAGGCGACUCUCUGGACUGUAACUGACGCUGAGGC
rnacentral:rRNA from 1 species